UACAGAGGUCUCAAGCGUUGUUCGGAUUCAUUGGGCGUAAAGGGUGUGUAGGUGGCGCCGUAAGUCGGGUGUGAAAUUUCGGAGCUUAACUCCGAAACUGCAUUCGAUACUGCGGUGCUUGAGGACUGGAGAGGAGACUGGAAUUUCAUGGUGUAGCAGUGAAAAUGCGUAGAGAUCAUGAGGAAGACCAGUGGCGAAGGCGGGUCUCUGGACAGUUCCUGACGUGAGGCACGAAGGUCAGGGGGAGCAAAACGGG
rnacentral:rRNA from 1 species